ACAAUACUAAGAACUCCAACAACAAUUUUGUUGACAGAGCUUUGGCAAUUGGGGCAAGUGUUGGGUGGAUAUGUCAUUAGCAACGCAUCUUCACGGCUAUGGUGGCAGGACUCGCUGUUGACAGAGCUUUGGCAAUUGGGAGAUCUAAGGCAAGUUCAUUUGGGGAAGUGUAACGCUGUCCUGCACGCAAUGGUGAAGGCGGCCGUCGACCGUUCCGACGGGCAGGUUCGGUCGUUCGCCGGCAAGCUGUUCGUCACCAAUGAACUCAUCAAGUACAUCGUGGAAAGGUGUUUUUUCUUGCCCUACUUAGCUUUCUGUUCGAAUUUUUGUUACUUAUUACGAUCAAUUACAGCUCUGCAUCAGUCAAAAUCCCCAUCUCCCUCGCUGACUAGCCUUCGGCUUGUUUCCUGCCAUGUCCACCACCUCGCCAGUGUUAUGCAAGAGUCGGCUCCGAUGGAGCUGCGUUCCCUUGAGCUCGAAGACACUUACCUCACCGUUAGAGACCUGACCUCUAUCGUCGAGAGCUGCCCUCUCCUAGAGGCUCUUUGGGUGCAAGACUGCGUUCAGGUCUAUAAGAAGGACGAGCAGGCCCUGCAAGCGAAAUUCGCUAGGAUCAAGACCCUAAAGCUU
rnacentral:rRNA from 1 species